UUAAAAAGUAAAUUAAUUUAUUUGAGUAGUAUUAGUUAUAUUCUUGAAACUAAAAAAAUUUGGCGGUAUUUUAGUCUAUUCAGAGGAACUUGUUUUAUAAUCGAUAAUCCACGAUGUACCUUACUUAAAAUUGUUAAUCAAUCUAUAUAUCGUUGUUAUUAGAAUAUUUUAUAAGAAUAAUAAUUUUCUAUAAUUUUUAUUAAAAUUAAUAUCAAAUCAAGGUGUAGUUUAUUUUUAAGUAAAAAUGAGUUACAAUAAAAUAUAUUUAUGAAUUUAAAUAUGAAAAAUUUAAUGAAAUUGGAUUUGAUAGUAAAAUUAUAAAGAUAAAUAAUUUGAUUUUAGCUCUAAGAUAUGU
rnacentral:rRNA from 1 species